rnacentral:rRNA from 1 species
GAUGAACGCUGGCGGCGUGCCUAAUACAUGCAAGUCGAGCGAAUGGAUUAAGAGCUUGCUCUUAUGAAGUUAGCGGCGGACGGGUGAGUAACACGUGGGUAACCUGCCCAUAAGACUGGGAUAACUCCGGGAAACCGGGGCUAAUACCGGAUAACACUUUGAACCGCAUGGUUCGAAAUUGAAAGGCGGCCUCGGCUGUCACUUAUGGAUGCACCCGCGUCGCAUUAGCUAGUUGGUGAGGUAACGGCUCACCAAGGCAACGAUGCGUAGCCGACCUGAGAGGGUGAUCGGCCACACUGGGACUGAGACACGGCCCAGACUCCUACGGGAGGCAGCAGUAGGGAAUCUUCCGCAAUGGACGAAAGUCUGACGGAGCAACGCCGCGUGAGUGAUGAAGGCUUUCGGGUCGUAAAACUCUGUUGUUAGGGAAGAACAAGUGCUAGUUGAAUAAGCUGGCACCUUGACGGUACCUAACCAGAAAGCCACGGCUAACUACGUGCCAGCCGCCGCAGUAA